CACAGCUUCGGGACGACUGGAUCGCCGCGCCUGGGCCGGAGCGAGCCAUCUGCGGGCACUAUGCAAAGCGGGAGACGGCGCGAGCGGCGCCCGGCUCACACUAGCUCUUCCAGGACGCAGUGAUCUUUCCGUGGGAAUGCGGCAAGGAGUCAGCAGGCAUAGUGAAAAUGGGCGGCGAUGGAUACUCCCAGCACUUGCUGAGCACUGCUACGCCUCAGGACUGGGACAGAGAGAACCAUUCUCUGCUUUCAAUAGGACAGAAGAGCUCCUUGGCACUGGAUGCCUCCGGGUCUGGUUGAGAGAGGAAUGGUUAGGAGACUGUUCUGAGGAUACGCAGACAUCAUCCAAAGCUUCCUACAUUCAGAUGAGGACAGAGGUUGGGCCAGAGCUUUGUAAGCUUGUUACCUAAGGAUGGUUCUGACCAUGUAAGCAGAUCACAGAAGCUGGAGGCAAAGGAUGCCAAGAUGGGAAAGCCACAUAAUGGAAGGAUCCUGGAUUUCAGAGCUGUCACUUGGAGGAGGGGCACCCAGUGAAGGUGUCUUAUCUAACCCACACCAUAUCUUCAUGAAGUGGCCAUAUGGAUUUGAUCCCUAUCCUUCAGAGGUGCUCAGCCUAAGGGAACACGGAUAGUAGAUUAAGCACUGACCAGAGCCAGCCUUGACAAUGUGCUGAUGGCAACCUAGAACAUAAGCAGAGGAGUAUACAGGACAAGAACUUGAUGGUCUCGGGAAAAUGGACAACAUGACUCAGGUGAAAAAGAUUGAUCAUCAGAUGUUUCUUAUGUAUCAACCUGAUAUUUAAAUCCAUGAAGGACAGAGACGACAAAGGCAGGUGGAAUAGAUAGAGAAGAGAUUCAAGGUCUGAGCUCUACAUUACUCAAACUGUUAGAGAUUAGGAAGAAGAGGAAGACCUGGCAAAAGAAUGUCCUGGGAUGUAGAAAGAAAACCAGAAGCUUGUGUUCUCUGGAAACCAAAUGAAGAAAGGGCUUCCAGAAGGACAGACAAAGUGUAGUGUGUCAAAGGCUCCUGAGCAAUCAGAGGAGAGCACAAAGGGGCUCACAGGACUUUGGUAUCUGGAUCACCCAGUGACACUUCCUGAUCACGAGAAACUGUCAGACCAACAGGGGCACUUUCUGAAACCAGCAGUUCUUCAGUGCCCAAAUGCAACCUUGAUGGUUUGAUUUUGGAGGAUGGCAAUUCAUUAACAGCACUCCCCAGUGAUAAAUAUGAAAACCAAUAAAACCCCCCACCCAAGGCAAUCUCUCCCAGCUCCUCGCUUUGAGUAAAGUGAGUAACCUCCAUUUCUGCCAACUCCUGUCUUGUCUGAAGCCACAUUUCCCCAGCAAUGUCACAUAUGCAUUUCUUGAUCCUGGUCAUUUCUCCUCUUGGGAGAUGAAUCAUAAAGAAAAUGAGAUCUGUGUGCCCUGGUGACUAUGGAUGCAAGAGUCUGCUGCCCUGGAGGGAACAGCUGGAAAAGUAGAUGGUGAAGACGUGUGGGGGGGAAACAGUGGAGAAGGCAUCUUUGCAGGGGAUCAAGGUGACAGAGUGAUUAGUUACACUGUUUUGACAUGUGAGAACAGGGGGUUAUAAAAAUGGAUACAGGAAGAGGGAGAGAAAGUAAGGACCAAAACAUGAAGCCAGUCAUGAAUGUUUUUACAUAAAAAGCAGCAGAUUUACGGCAAAUAUGUGAUGUUUCCACAUUUUCUGCCUCUAGUUAGCAGGGGCAGCACAAAGAGCAUUACUGUGGAGCUGAACUUUGGGUAAAAGAUUAACAGCCAGUCCUUUCUCUCCAGUGUCUGCUUCCUUCUGGGCUUGCCCUGGGGGAAAAGGAGGGCUGGCAUGGAUAUGCCUGCAGCCCUCACCCUAGAUGUUCUUCCACGCCUCUCUGUUCAUUCAUUGCUUAGUCAUUCCUCAGGCAUGGAUUGAGACCACUGUGUGCCCAGGACCGACCUGGCCUAGGAUGGACAUAGAGAUGGAAAAGGCACAGGGAGCAGGUGACAGAGACAAAUCAAGGUCAUGGAGAAUAGCAGAGUAAGAUAGAAGAUGAAGGCAGGAGAUGGGGUUCUUGAGAAAGCGAGAGCAGGACUGACCCGUGUCUGCCUCACCUGUUAUUGCUGUAGCCUCUUCUCCUUGGAGUAUCCCUCCUGCUCUUGCAUCACCUUAGGAACUUGGAUCAGAGAGGAAAGUUACGGCCUGGAUAUGUUGUAGUAGGAGGGGACAAACAUGUUUGGAGACAGAAAUGCUUGGGGAGCGGGUGUUUUUGGGGGAUGAGACUUUCCAGGUCUCUCAAUUCACACUAUGUAGGUAGUUCACUGCACAGCUUAAAUAAGAGACAACUCUCCGGAGUGGUUGGCUCUCAUCCAAAAAAUGUGUUUUGGGCCUCAGAUUUCCAACGGAAGGGCUGAAGCGUGACUGGCCUGAUGUCAACUACUGAAGUCCACCUGCCCCUGCCCUAUCAGGUGUGGAAAUGCUGGGGUUCCUCUCUCAGAACCUACUUCCUGAGAUGUCGAAAUAUACCCAAGAGUAUUUCUGGGCCUUCUCCAAUCCGAAACUGUUUAGUUUUUGUGUGUGUGUGCCUACUUGGCCACACUAGAAGACAGAGGUGGCCUGGGUGAAAUGCAGGUUUCUAGAGGCUCUCUGACAAAGCUCAGGCCACCAGCCCCAGGCCAGCCUGUGGGUAGUCCUGGCUGACAGUCACUUCAUACCUCACCUGGGCUUUUUGCCAAAUUCAAAGUGUGUGUAUAUGUGGAGUGCUGGGUUCCCACCACUGACAGUCUGUAAGUCAUUCACUUAGCUCAAUUUGUCUUACUUUCUUCUGAAAUUUCUUCCUUCUUGUUCUUUUUCCCAGGAGAAACCAGGAGAAGGCAGUCCUAGGGCAGUCUCCGGGCCAGCUUUCCCUAAUAAGAAGGCAGAGCUCCUCUUCACCCAGACUUCAGACCUAUAGAGGCAGCCUGGGGUCCCGGGAUGCCCUUGCACUCAGAGAUGUCCCCAGAGUCCUAGGGAAAUGGAGGAUAACUAGGAGGAAGCUGUUCAUGGCUGGCGAUGAGGUCUAUACCUUCUUGUCCGUCUCAGUGCUGUCUGCUAUUGAAUUUUUGUGCAGAUCACAUUAACUUAAAGCCAGUUCUCAAGAAGCUCCCCCUGCCGCCGGCAUAUCCACCAGUUGCUCCCCUUUCCUGCCAUUAAUCAGGGUCUGCUAGUUAGAGAACAAAUUCCUAUUUGUCCAAACAGUUGCCAACACCCCCACCCCAAGGUAGUUAAAUGAGGAUGAAUGGGUCAUUCUUAUUAAAAAAUGACUUAAAUUUCUCAAAUUCUAUUUAUGUUUCUUUUACAUCCCAAUUUUCUAUAGAUUUAGUGACUCCAAAUGAUAAGGUCUCAAGCUCAUAAUAAUUUAUCCCUUGGGUAACACACAAGGCUUGGUGGUAUUUCAGUAAUAUUCAUGACAACAGCAGCUGUCGUGCUAAUAAGGACUGAUGUCACCAGAGCACUUUCUAUGUGCCAAGCAUGGUGCACAACACUUUACAUACAUUAUGUCAUUUAAUUUUCACAAAACCUCACAGAGGUAAAUAUUAUUAUCUUCCUCUGCAUAUAAGGAAAUGAAUGUUCGGAAAGAUUAAGUCAACUCACUGAGGUCCCAUCAGUGCUCUUUCAUAUGCCUCUGUUGCAGUCUCAUUGAACUGCUGAAAUCAGAAAAACCUGGAGACCUUGUUAACCUUCAGAUUCCUGGGCCCCAUCUUAGAUGCAGGGAGUCAGACUUCCUGGGAGUGUGGCCCUGGAAUUUUCAUUUGUAAACACAUUCCCCAAGAGACCUGUAUGCACACUAAAGUGGGAGAAUUCACGAUCUCUGGCUUUUGUGAUGUUUUAAACGCACUAUAUAAUUUCAGUAGCAAAAGAAUUGGGCUUUGGGAAGGGAGUGUGUGGUGAACCCUGAAAGCUGAAUGGACUUCCUUCCUGUGGAGGAGCAGUGGGAGAAACUGGAGGCAGAGAGCUGUGUUUCAUUCCUUGAUUGAGCCUUUGUGAGUUAUUUAAUCUCUUUCAGUCUCUAUUUUUUUCAUUUGUAAACCAGGAAGGAUACUUGUAUUUUCCAGGUGGUUGUGAGGUGUGAAAGAGAUGAGAGUAGAACAAAAUUUUAAAAGUUGAAAGCACUCAACAAAUGUAUUUGGUAUUAAUCAUGGGUUUCCCUGGGGCCGAGGAAGCCACCAGCCACCGCAGGCCUGUACACAAUGCCAGCCACCAUGUAUGGAUACGGAGGAGGCAAAAGGACUAGCGAACACUCCCAGGGACUGGAUGUCUUGAAUAUCUGUCCAACUUUCUUGGGAGGGGCCAUUUCUUCUGUAACUCAAAGGAAUUUAUUAUUUUUCAGCCAGGGAGGCAUGCUUUCUAUCUACUGCUAGUACUCCCAGACCAAGCUGUUUCAGUGGGACUGAGGUGUGACUUCUGCCUCGGUUUCAUCCAUCUGUGCAGGGAAGAGAAAAAUGCCUGCACCUCCACGGUCACACCCUCUGUUGGAACCACCUCCUUAAGCCAGAAUUAUUGAAUGUUCUCUAUGUGCCAGAAUUAUUAUUAUCUCAUUUGAUUCUCACAACAAUGCCAUGAAGUCUAUACAGACAUACCUUGGAAAUACAGCGGGUUUGGUUCCAGACCACCGCAAUAAAGCUAAUACCGCAAUAAAAUGGGUCACACGAAUUUUUUGGAUUAGGCUUCGGCUUAAGGGAAUGUUGUGGCUGGUUUGAUGUUUUAUCCAGACCGCUAACACUUUCUCCCUAUCAGCAAUGAGGCUGUUUUGCUUUCUUAUCAUUCCUGUGUUCACUGGAGUAGCACUUUUAAUUUCCUUCAAGAACUUUUCCUUUGCAUUCAUAACUUGGCUAACUGUUUGGCACAAGAGGCCUGCCUAGCUUUUGGCCUAUCUAAGCUUUUGACUUGCCUUCCUCACUGAGCUUAAUCAUCUCUAGCCUUGGAUUUAACGUGGAAAAUGUGUGACCCUUCCUUUCACUUGAACACUUGGAAGCUAUUGUAGGGUUAUUAACUGGCCUAAUUCAAUAUUAUUGUGUCUCAGGGAACAGGGAGGCCCAGAGAGAGAGAGACGGGAAAACAGAAAGUCAGUGGGGCAGGCAGAACACACACGUUUAUUUAUUAAGUUUGCUGUCAUAUGUUGGUGCAGUUCAUGCUGCCCCAAAACAAUUACAAUAACAAGAUCAAAGAUUCCUGGUCAUAGAUUGCCAUAACAGAUACAGUAAUCACGAAAAAGUUUGAGAUAUUGUGAGAAUUACGCAGAUAUUGUGAGAAAUAUGACCCAGAGACAAGAAGCGAGCACAUGCCGUUAGAAAAAUGGCACCAACAGACUUGCUUGCUGCAGGGUUACACAUACCUUCAAUUUGUAAAAAAAAAAAACUGUAAUAUCUGCAAAACGCAAUAAAGAAAAGUGUAAUAAAAUGCAGUCUGCCUGAACUUCAAUUAUUCCCAUUUUAUAGAAGAGGAAAUAGAUGCAGGGAGUUUGAUCUGCCUGAACUAGUAAAUGGUAGAACUCUGGGACUAACAUUCCUAUCCUCUAUGCUACAUUCCUAGGAAAGAACGCUCAGACAGGGUUGGACUGAGAGUGUGUUAAGCUUUGCACUGUUUUGAGCCCUCUGAAGGAGUGUCCGUAUUUGAAAGCUGGCCUCCUUCCUUUCACUGGCCCUCCACAGUGUGGCCUAAGUUAUUCAAUUAGGAAGGGAAAUAAUUGGCAGUGGAGAAUGCCUCUAGCAGUGGUAAUUACCUCCAGUGCCUUGUAGGAAUAGUCAAGCUACAUUUCAGUUUAUGCUGUAAAACCUUAAUUAUAAUAUAAACAGCUGCCCUUCAGCCCAGUGGGGCAGCCUUCCCCCGCCUUCCUUCUCUGGCCUCUGAAUGGCCCUGCCUCCUGAAUGGUCAGGGAGGUCCAGGGACGGAAGGAGACCUGGGAGGAGGGGAGCCGAUGACUAUGCGUGCGUUGGGGUUUGGAAGACUAAGCUGGAGGGAGCCACUGCCAGGGUCCCAUCUUCAAGUGAUGAAGCCAAAGGCAGCAUCCCCAUUCUUGGUACCACUCACACUGAGUCUCUUGGGGGAGCAGCCUCCAGCCAUUAGCAGUCAGCCCAGUGCCAUUAGGCUAGGAUAGGGUUUAGCAGGCUAUGGUAUCAUUUCAGGGUAACAUCUCUUUCUAUUUACUCCCCUAUAAGGGAGAACAGAGUCUUCCCUUCUAGAUCCAGACUUCCUGGCCAUGUAGGAGCCCUGUUGAGUGCCUGGUGCACUCUAGGUAGUAUGCGAGGCAUGGUUGCAAGGGUUCCCCAUUUCAACUUCACAGCACUUGGAUACACAGAAAAUUAACAUCCUCAUUUGACUAUUGAGGAAAAUGAGACUUUGAAAGUUUAAACGGAGAUAAGGCUUGGGAGGCAGACAGCCCUGUAAGUGACUUAAGUUCAGGAAGGAGAAGGACACUCAAUAUUUUUGUUCAGAGCACUGGGAAGGAGAGAGAGGGAUCAGUCACCAUCGGGCAUUUGAGAAGGUCCAGGAACAGGGGGCUGGUGAGCAGAGGGGGGAAUAACACCAGAGGGGCUGAAAUUGCUGAUUGCUGGGUUCACAGAUCUACCCACGAGCGGCCCAGGUACCCCAUGAGCGGCUGCUCUGUGUCAUCUGACCACUGGAUUGUAACCUGGGCUGAAAGAAUCAGAAGUCAGUGUGGCGAGGCAGGAGUCCUCAGAUGGUCAGAGCUGACUCUUCAACUCUUAAGGGCAAAAUGGAAAAUGUGAGCUUGUUGGUGGUCUUCGAAACACAGUAAGCAAUCCAUGCCCCUGAAGAGCAGGGAUAAUUAUAGGCAUGCCCUUGUUUUAUUGUGCUUUGCAGAUAUUGCAUGUUUUUACAAAUUGAAGAUUUAUGGCAACUCUGCAUACAGCAAAUCUAUUGAUGCCAUCUUUUUCCAAUAUCACAUGCUCACUCUGUGUCUCUGUCUCACAUUUUGGUAGUUCUCCCAAUAUUUCACACCUUAUUAUUAUUAUUAUAUCUGUUAUGAUGAUCUGUGGUCAGGGAUCUUUGAGGUUACUAUUGUAGUUGUUUUGAGGUGCCAUGAACUGCACCCAUGUAAGACAGCGAACAUAAUCAAUAAAUGUUGUGUGUUCUGACUGCUCCACCAACCGACUGUUUCCCUGUCUCUUUCUCUCUCCUCUGGCUCCCUAUUCCCUGAGGCACAAUCAUAUUGAAAUUAGGCCAAAUAAUAACCCUACAAUGGCUUCUAAAGGUUCAAGUAAAAGGAAGAGUCACAUCUCUUACUCUAAAUCAAAAGCUAGAAAUGAUUAAGCUUAGUGAGGAAGGCAUGUGGAAAGCUGAGA
rnacentral:lncRNA from 1 species